CUGGUGUGGAGUUCAGUCUGAUCAAGGACACAAGAGCUUCAUCACACGAGUCCUCCUCAGAGUUACUGAUGCAAACAGUCACAGAAUAUCUACAUCACCAUCAUCAUCAUCAUCUUCUUCAUCUUUCUCACCAGGAGAAUCUCCACUGAUCUCAUCUGCGUCUCCUGUAACUGGUACAAACUCACUGAUUUCUGUCAGUCGGUCAGUUUUGAUCUUCAGAGUGAUUGAGUGAAUCUCUGGUGUUUGCAGGCUCUUCUCUGAUCAUCAGUGUGUCUGUGCUUCUGCUUCUGAUCUUCAGUGUGAUUCUGUUGGUGAUCGUCUCUCUCUGGAGGAGGCGUCAGUCUCACGACGCUCAUCCCUCAUCCAGAAGAUCUCACAGGACUCCAGCAAACACUGACGCGGCUUCUAAUUAUCAUUGUGAUUACGAGGAGACUGAAGACAAUCGUAGACAAUUACCCACAAACCCCUCUGAUUCUACUAAUGCAAUCUAUGCUAAUCCAGAAUUACCCAUAAACCCCUCUGAUUCUACUAAUGCAAUCUAUGCUAAUCCAGAAUUACCCAUAAACC
rnacentral:lncRNA from 1 species